UACGGGGGGGGGCAAGCGUUGUUCGGAAUUACUGGGCGUAAAGGGCUCGUAGGCGGCCAACUAAGUCAGACGUGAAAUCCCUCGGCUUAACCGGGGAACUGCGUCUGAUACUGGAUGGCUAGAGGUUGGGAGAGGGAUGCGGAAUUCCAGGUGUAGCGGUGAAAUGCGUAGAUAUCAGGAGGAACACCGAUGGCGAAGGCAGGUCUCUGGGCUGUAACUGACGCUGAGGCGCGAAAGCUAGGGGAGCAAACGGG
rnacentral:rRNA from 1 species